rnacentral:rRNA from 1 species
UACAGAGGGGGCAAGCGUUAUUCGGAAUUAUUGGGCGUAAAGGGCGCGUAGGCGGCUUGGCAAGUGGAUGGUGAAAUCCCUCGGCUUAACCGAGGAACUGCCGUCCAAACUGCUUUGCUUGAGACCGGGAGAGGUGAGUGGAAUUCCCAGUGUAGCGGUGAAAUGCGUAGAUAUUGGGAGGAACACCAGUGGCGAAGGCGGCUCUCUGGGACGGUACUGACGCUGAGACGCGAAAGCGUGGGGAGCGAACGAGG